rnacentral:rRNA from 1 species
CAGUCGCCACGGGAACACGAAGGGGGCUAGCGUUGUUCGGAAUUACUGGGCGUAAAGCGCACGUAGGCGGACAUUUAAGUCAGGGGUGAAAUCCCGGGGCUCAACCCCGGAACUGCCUUUGAUACUGGGUGUCUAGAGUAUGGAAGAGGUGAGUGGAAUUCCGAGUGUAGAGGUGAAAUUCGUAGAUAUUCGGAGGAACACCAGUGGCGAAGGCGGCUCACUGGUCCAUUACUGACGCUGAGGUGCGAAAGCGUGGGGAGCAAACAGGAUUAGAUACCCGCGUAGUCCCUGUCUCUUAUAC